rnacentral:tRNA from 1 species
GGAGGGUUGUCCGAGUGGUUUAAGGUGCAGCUCUCGAAAAGCUGUGUGCCUAACAGCACCGUGGGUUCGAAUCCCAUGCCCUCCG